CUACGUAGGGGGCGAGCGUUGUCCGGAAUGAUUGGGCGUAAAGGGCGCGUAGGCGGCCGCUUAAGUCUGGAGUGAAAGUCCUGUUUUCAAGAUGGGAAUUGCUUUGGAUACUGGGGGGCUUGAGUGCAGGAGAGGUUAUCGGAAUUCCCGGUGUAGCGGUGAAAUGCGUAGAGAUCGGGAGGAACACCAGUGGCGAAGGCGGGUAACUGGACUGCAACUGACGCUGAGGCGCGAAAGUGUGGGGAGCAAACAGGAUUAGAUACCCUGGUAGUCCACACUGUAAACGAUGAAUGUUAGGUGUAAGAGGUAUCGACCCCUUUUGUGCCGGAGUCAACACAAUAAGCAUUCCGCCUGGGGAGUACGGCCGCAAGGUUGAAACUCAAAUGAAUUGACGGGG
rnacentral:rRNA from 1 species